CCUACGGGUGGCAGCAGUGAGGAAUCUUGGUCAAUGGGCGCGAGCCUGAACCAGCCAAGUAGCGUGAGUGAUGAAUGCCCUACGGGUUGAAAACUUCUUUUAUAAAGGAAUAAAGUGAGGCACGUGUGCCUUUUUAUAUGUACUUUAUGAAUAAGGAUCGGCUAACUCAGUUCCAGCAGCCUCGGUAAUACGUAGGCUCCGAGCGUUAUCCGGAUUUAUUGGGUUUAAAGGGAGCGUAGAUGGGUUGUUAGGUCAGUUGUGAAAGUUUGCGGCUCAACCGUAAAAGUGCAAUUGAUACUGGCAGUCUUGAGUACAGUUGAGGUAGGCGGAAUUCGUGGUGUAGCGGUGAAAUGCUUAGAUAUCACGAAGAACUCCGAUUGCGAAGGCAGCUUACUAAACUGCCACUGACAUUGAUGCGCGAAAGUGUGGGUAUCAAACAGGAUUAGAUACCCUAGUAGUC
rnacentral:rRNA from 1 species